AUGAAUUGCACGGCAUUAAGCGUAGCAAACAGUAAUGUUAGUUUUAGGAGAACAGAGUCUGGUGAGUUAAUUGACGUUGGUGAGCAAAUCAAAGUUGCGGAGUUUUUAAAAUAUCUUCUACGUACAAGACUUUGGCUUCUCAGAGCUCAAAAUGAAGAGCAGUGCAGUCUCAUGCAGUCAUUCUCGUCAGAGAAUCGGAGUAUGCUGACAGAAUUGGAAUAUGUAAAAGCUGUUCAAGAUUUUCAACUUCAUGGACUCAUGAAAAAACUCGUUCGCUCACAGAUUUCUACAAUCACAGUCACAGCUGAUCUAGUAUGGAACCUUGCAGUGAGGAGUUCUCCGAGAUUUAAUUUGGAAGAGUACACAUCUGUUGAUCUUCGUGGAAAUUUUGAGGCCUUGAGGAAGGGAUCUUUUAAAUUGCAGAAUCACUAUUGCCUAACAUCACAACUUAAAAGAAAGAAAGAUGAAAAGGGAUGGGAAGUAUGUGAAGUGGCAUCUAAUGCCAAGCGUAUUGCAAUAGAAACAGAAGAAAGCAGCAAAUUGUAUGAGGAGAAAGCUAAAUUAUUCAAGAGGUUGGAGAAAAAAUUCAUCAGAUGCAAAAGAUGCAAACAAUUUUGGUCCAACUUAGAUCUACUUUUCAAAGUUGUGGUGUAGAAAACUUUGACGAACAGCACAAAAUGUUGACAGACAUUGGGAAGCCCAGAACUUGGAACUACUAUAAUAAAAUGGUUAACAGUAUAACUCACAGUAAUGGUACAGUAUGAGUCUACCUCAUUUUAUAAAGCUUGUCAUAGGUCUAAGAUACUGAAAAUAUACAUCUCCACCCAAAAAAUGGACUGCAUCACAUGAUAAAUGACGUAACUAAGGGUUCCAUUAAAGGGAAAUGCAGGGAAUUUGAUAUGCUCAAAAAUUUUCGUUUUUUUCGAAAACCUUGAGUCUUGUCUAUUUGGACGUGAGCAAUACAACCGCAAUGAUGAUGCAGUGGUCCCUUAUGGUCAGAGACCGCAGUGCGAUCCCUCAUUUUAAAUCUUUAGAAAUAUCAGGAAAUGCAGUAUGAUCAGGAAAAAUCAGCAAAACAGAGGACGUUGAGGGAUUGAGAAACACCAGUCGCAAUGGUUGAAUUUUGCCGAAAGAACCUAACCCAUAGAGUUACUUGUGGAUUGAUGCUAAAAUUUUUCAAAAAUGAUGUAUUUAUUUUCAUCCUUCCAAGUGGCCGGAACUUUGUCACGGGUGGCGUAGAGGGUCAAAACUUAGUACACAUGAGUGUCACCACUUCUGACACCUGUUUUUUGUUAUUAAGCACCGUCGAAAACAAGGAUUUUUUUUUUUUCAUACGCAUUAGAAUACCUACAAAAUUCAAGAAUAACCGUAAAAAUUGCAAUGAAUUGUGAGAGCAUAAAGAACUUAUGAUUUUCUUUUAAUUUUGCGAUCUCUGCAAGAUGACUUUAAGAUAUUAUAUUUUUAUUUUUAUUGAUUGAACCAAGUAUUCACAUGUAGUUUUUCUUUAAAAAUGAAUGUAAUUUUUUUGUAAAUUAUCUAUUUUGAGUCUCAAAUCGCUCAAUUUUAUUUUUUAACAAUAUAUUUGUAUGUAAAAUUUCUUAUGCCAAAAUUCAAAUUAAAAUUUCAAUUAAAAUUCGAUCUAAAAUUUCUUUUUCUUUCUUAUUUCGUUUCUUUUCUUUUUAGAAUCAGUCCUAAUCUUUCAAUCUUCAUUUAAUAUUCUUGUUCGCAAAAUCAAAUGAAGUAAUCUUAUUCAGGCUAAAAAUUGGAAAAUUUGUCCAUAACAUUGAAGCUCUGAUAAGUAAUUAUGUGCACAAUUUUUAAGACAGUCGUUUCAAUGACAAGAAGGUCCUGUUCUAGCCAUUUGGUAAAAAUAGUAUAAUUCCUGUUGCCACCUUUUGAUUUGCUUUCUUUAAUUUUAUCACAUUUUGGUCUUAUGUGAAGCGGUAAAAAUUUUCAUGAAAAGCCCUUCAUGGUAUCGACGCGAUCUCACGCUUUGUGAACGUCACAGGGGCAACACUUUGUGUUAUAAGAUAUUAUAUGACAGUUUUGAAGCAUCAAUGGUAUUUUUUAAUCAAUUAUAUAAUCCCUCAUUUCUUAUUGAGACCAAGCCUUCGGUGGAAUAAUCAUCUCUUGUGACAUUUUCAAAAUCAUCAAUUUUCAAGUGAAAGCUCAAAUGUUGUAAAAACUGCACAGUGGAUUGUUUAAAGAGUAUAUCCAAUUACAAAAAGAAAAAAAAACCAAUUCUUUUUACUGCCUUCAAUUUGCAAUGUAUUUAAUAAUCAAAACUUGCACAUGAUUCUCUCAAAACCAUGUUUCUACCUUCAUGUGAUUAUCUCAGCCAAAGCCUCAAUUAUAGUUACAGUUAACAGUCUGUUACAGUUAACAUUUUUAGAAAAAUACGAUGAAAUUCAAAAAAUCAAUGGUUGCAAGAUUUUAAAUCCAAAAUAAGUGGAAAACUCACACUUUUUCCAGCUUCUUUUUAGAUUUCAAAAUGGGUCUGCUCUUGCUGCAAAACUCUCAACUAAUUACAGAUGCAGUUUCAUUUUGGGCUAUUAGUGCUUCAUCUUUGUCUCAGGUCCCAAGUGCAAUAAAUUUAGCCGUACUGCGAACCUUCAAUUUCACAGAACUUUAGAGGAAAAACAGUUUGUACAAUAUAAUUAUUAAAAUGUAAAAUUUGAUCUUUGAGCAUUCAUUUACCUUAAAGUAAAGCUUGUAGGACGGAAUAUUUAAAAAAUAAGGUAAUCCAGAUUUAGUGAAAUUAUUUUAUUUAUUAGAUUUUAAAUACUUAUACAAAUGAAAUCAUAACAUAUUAAAAAUUAUCAAUCAAUGGUUUUGCAAAACUUGAAACAAAAAGUGAGAGGCAACAACAGGAGAGGAGAAGAACUGAGUUGAAAAAAUGGCAACUCCACUUAUGACAACUUAUUUGUACACGAAAGGUACAAGGACAAAAAAUACGAUCCUAACAAGGCACAGCUUCCCUGGAGCAGUGUGAAAUGAAAAGUGAAUGUAUCUCUUUGAUCUUCUUAAAAUCUGUCGGUAAGGUAUUUACAAAGAACGAGGGGGGGGGGGAUGCACCAGUCGACUGACACUAUAAUGAGAAUACUCUUGGUAUUGCAUAGUCAUGGCGUCACCUUGGGUACGAUCGUAUGACCACCAACUUGUGUCUUGCAUUUUUACUUUAGUGAAGGUUACCGAAAAGAUCAAAGACGUAUAUUCACUUAGAUUUAACAUUUCUUCAGUGGAGCCAUGAAGGAUCAAGCAUUUUAAAGACUCAAGCUCGCUAUACAACUAAUUUUCUGUGAGUCCCAACAAUCCAAAAGAAUGUUGGGCAAGAGGAUUUCUUCAAGCGGAAAUUCUUAUUUUUACCUAGAACAAGUUGGCACAUGUACAAACUGUACAAAUAGUAAUUGACAGUUGUUAAAAUAUAUUAAAAGUGAUAAAGACAAAAAAGUAAUUCUGAGUCUAAAACAUGAUUCCUAGACUUACUUUGUUUGAGGUAACAAUUGGAAUAUAUGUCACAGAAGCUUUGUUGUUUGCAUUACUUAUGCAUGAUCAUUGAGUGACCAAUUCGAAAAAAUGAGGUUAGAAACCCUGUAACAGUUUCCAGAACCUACUCAGAGCAUGUUCCUUAUUGCUGUACAUCAAAGUGUUAGGGCAGCAUUGCCAUGUUGUGCACAAGAAGGUUUCCUAUUAAAUAAGCUGCAAUCACCCACAGUCAGUAACACUUGAUCAAUGGAGAAAUUUUUCACACUACGGUGAAAGCAGUUACAAUUGUUACACCAAACAAAAUAAAACUAUGGAAUUUUUAAAUUAUAUUAGUUUUGUCACUUUCCUUUUCUUUUUUUUUCUUUUUUAGAGAUGUCAGUAGAGCAGUAAUUAUCUGCUCGGAGCUUAAAACUAAGUUUCUCUAAAGAUUAGUUUUCUUUUGUUUAGUACAUUGUGUUAAAAAGUAAAAAAAUUCUUAGAGUGGCUUUGUGCUGAAUUAAAGAAAUGUUAAGACUGAAUCUUUUCGUCAUUAUGAAUACGAUGAUUCCUUCAAAGGAGGAGUUGAAUGGAAAAGAUGUAUACAUGGGAAAAUUACAACUUUGCUCCAGUAGUGCAAGUUUUUCAUUCACUCAUUAGCAGGGAAAGUAUAUGUACAUUAUCCCAAGAAUUUUACGAAAAAGACUUGAAAAUAUUGUACAGUUAAUUGCCUGAUAAAAAAUUAAGAAAAUAAAAAGCGCAAAAAGGGCUUUUACAACGUAUGUUUCAAGCACCUCAAGAAAACACAGGAAAAAUUUGAUGAACUUUUUAAAAAUUGCAUCUCUUACAAGGAAAUAGAAAAAAGAAGAGAACAGAUACAUGAGUAUAAAGGAUGGAAUCGCAAGCUGGAGACGGAAAAUUAUAAAUAUUAACAUAAAUUAAAAAUUGCACAAAAAAAGGCAGUUUUUCAUGAUGAAGUAAUACAAAGUAAGUAGAUGAUUAUGAAUGACGAUAGCAAGUACACAGAAAAACAUUGAGAGGGGAAAGAAUCCUCUUUGAAGAAUCCUCCAUGAAGGAGGUCUUUGAAUGAAUAUUAGUGAUUGGGGUCUUCAUGUUUGCUGUUCAACUUGGUAGGGUCGAAAUUCUACAAAAAUGAGAGGAAGAUACUUUUGAUUCAUAGGUGAAUAUACUUUGAUUGUUUGGAAACUUUACUAAAUGGCACGGUGGCAUUCAAAACAGAAUUAUAAAAAUCCUGAUUAUUUUUUUUUUUUUUUUUUUUUUUUUUUUUUUUUUUAGCAGAA
rnacentral:lncRNA from 1 species